rnacentral:lncRNA from 1 species
GAUCAGUAUAUCUGAUCUUGAAUUUAAAUCUUUUAUCAUCAUUUUUCAUGAGAUUUUUAUUUUCAGCCGUUCAAUUUUAGACUACUUGUUUGAUAGGAAAAUGAUAUCGAAAAAUUAUGAAAUUUAGUUUCUAAAUACUUUCAAUAGUGUAGAUCAAGUCUAACGGAGCCGAUCGUCGAUUUGGAAGCCGCAUCAUCGAAAACAACUUGGUAGCACGGAGCGCUCCGUGCUACUGAUAGUAUAGUAGCCUAGUUCUGUAUAUAUAUAUAUAUAUAUAUGAGUAUGGCUACUGUGCUAUUAAGAGCGUAGCAGCCCUUGUGCUCCUAACUUUCUAACCACCCAUUAAGUUUGAUGGGUGGUUAGAAUGAGAGAGGAAGGAGAUAUUGUGGACAAAUUGGGUGUCUCAAUUUCUCUUCUCAUUGAAUUUCUCUCUAAUAUCUCUUCCCUUUCUCAUUCUAAUCAUCCAUCAAACUUGAUGGGUGGUUAGAAAGUUAGAAGCACAAGGACUGCUGUGCUCCUAAUAGCACAGUAGCCCUACUCUAUAUAUAUAGAGAGAGAGAGCUGAGCUGGAAUACUAUCGGUAGCAAACGAACUCCGUGGCCACCCAUUUGUUUUCGAUAAUGGAACCUCCAAAUUGAAGAUCGGCACCGUUGAACAUAAUCUAUACCACUUGAAUUAUCUAGAAAUCAAAUUUCAUGCUUUUCUGAUAUUAUUCUCUUAUCCAUCAAGUGGACAUAAAAAUAAACGGCUAAAAAUGAUAAAACUAAAUUGUAAAACUUAAUGAUAUUAAAGUGAAUAUUCGAUAAAAUACAGGUCGGGUAUCUGCAGUUUUGUGUAUAUGAUUUAAUGAAAAGUUAACCGAGGAGCUAACGAAAAGAGGAAAAUAAAAUCACAUUUCACAAAGCACUAAAUUGAUCCACUUUAAAUUAUAAAAUACUAAAGUGAAAAAAUACGAAACCACAGAUUUGAAGUUUAUCUAUAAUAAUAUACUAGUAUAAGGACUCGCGCGAUGCAGCUGGUAGAUAUAUUACAAUCGUUUAAAAUUUAUUCUGUAAGUUAUUUUCUUGAGAGUAGAAUACAUUUACUUUAAAAAUUUUAAUAAUUUUAAAGUAUAUUGAAAAGUAUGAAGAAUAUUUUUUUUGAAUAUUCUAAUUUUUAACACUGAAACAUCACGAUAGGUAUCGAACCACAUUUAUUUUCGAAAAUUUUAUAUAGAUGUCUUAUUAUGUAGGUAGUGAUAAUCAGAAACAACAGAAAAUAUAUUUAACAAACAAAUUUCAACAUACCUAUUAGAUUUCGCUAAGUAUAGCGUUAGCUUUGUAAUAAUUAAUCAUUUCAAAAAUUCUAAACCCUAAUAUAAAGAAAGCUAUCAA